GAUGAAGAACGUAGCGAAAUGCGAUAAGUAGUGUGAAUUGCAGAAUUCAGUGAAUCAUCGAAUCUUUGAACGCACAUUGCGCCCCUUGGUAUUCCAUGGGGCAUGCCUGUUCGAGCGUCAUUUGUACCUUCAAGCUUUGCUUAGUGUUGGGUGUUUGUCUCGCCUUUGCGUGUAGACUCGCCUUAAAAUAAUUGGCAGCCGGCGUAUUGAUUGCGGAGCGCAGUACAUCUCGCGCUUUGCACUCAUAACGACAGCGUCCAAAAGUACAUUUUACACUCUUGACCUCGGAUCAGGUAGGGAUACCCGCUGAACUUAAGCAUAUCAAUAAGCGGAGGA
rnacentral:misc_RNA from 1 species